GCUCAAGUUUAUGGAAGGGAUUCACCGUCUGAGACGGGGAGACGGCAUUGGCCUUCUGUUAUUUUUUUUUAGUUUUUUCCUUGUAAGCACUUCAAUAAAACCGGCAGCAAGUUUAAUUGUCUUGUGACAAAGGUGGUUACUUGAAAUCGAAACUGGAGUACAAUAGAUUAGUUUCGAGUUUUGUAAACCAGAUUUACAAGUAUAAGUUGAAUUUAGUUCUUUCACCGAGCCCACCGGAUGCCUAGGCGAGUAGAGGUUGAUGCAGAGGUGUUCAAUUGAGUAAUAUUAUGGCACUUACACUCAGUUUUUAUGUAAAAGGAUUGGAAUUUUUCGCUCAAUACACACCUGUAGGUACCCUUGCUCUGUGGACUCUCAUAAUCAAUCCGCCUACGUUUGUGCUCGUAUUGC